UUUUUGCAGCUGCUGUAGGAUAACAUCAGUCUGCCACUUACUUGUCCUGGCAAUGCAUUUCCUUACCCUUCCUUACGCUAACACCAGGACUUACAGCAUAAUCCACCAAAUCCAAGAUUUGAUCCAAAUGUAACUAAUCAGCUGUUAUUUUGGCUGGAUCAGUUUUUUUGAUUUGGCUGCAGAAAGAGGUAGACAGCAGUAGGAAAGGGAAGAGAAGUGCCCUUUCCAAUGGCAGUACAGGCUGCAACUAGGCUAAAUGAGUUAUGAAAAGGCACCAUUAGCAGAUUACAAAAAUGUACUGCGUCAGGAUAUCCUGCUGGUGGGACAGUUAGUUCCCGUGUUGAUUUAAAUGAGAAUUCAUUACUCUACAAGUGCAGCUGGUCUUCCUGUCGCACCCAUCUGUAUUAACACCUGUGCCACAUAUGAAAUAGGCUCUGAAACACAGGUGAAAACAAGAACAAUUACAAAACCCCUUUUUGUGUAGUUGCAGUGUUUAUCACGAGAUUUCUGUCUCUUGCUCUCCAGAAUAAUUUUGCCAAAAUAGCAUGCUGACAGACCAAGUCUGGAUCAAGCCCUUCUCACAUGCCGAAGUCUCAUCCAAAAUCAUCUAGGCAGCUACAGAUGCUUGAACCACACAGUGUCCCUCAAAGAAGAAAUGACUGAAGAUAAGGGGGAAUAGUUGAAGAAAACACAAGUCUAUUUUUAGUGGUCCUUUUCCAUUCUUGAAGUCUCAAUAAAUACUGAGACACUCUCCCUGCACAGGCAGUGGACUUCAGAAGGACAGAGGGUGGGAUUUUUUCUGACCUCCUACACUCACGGUAUGAUUCUGCCUGCAAACUACUUGUCUGUAUCUUCAAAAGUGUGGAAAGAACCAAGGAGAAACUGUGGCCGUGCUGAAGCAGAAGGCAGUUCUCUACAAACUCAGAACUUCAAGCAAUACAUCAGAUAGUCGAAGAUGACUUUUCUAACUAUAAAAUCUGAUAAAACACUUUGACAUGUGCUUUAAACCAAGAAAAUGGGCCAGAGGCUAGGAGAUAAAUGUUGUCUGAAUGACAGUUGGCAUAAAGAUCAUGUACGAUGUGUCAGUAGGUAUA